UACGAAGGGAGCUAGCGUUGUUCGGAAUUACUGGGCGUAAAGCGCACGUAGGCGGCUUUGUAAGUUAGAGGUGAAAGCCCGGAGCUCAACUCCGGAACUGCCUUUAAGACUGCAUCGCUUGAAUCCAGGAGAGGUGAGUGGAAUUCCGAGUGUAGAGGUGAAAUUCGUAGAUAUUCGGAAGAACACCAGUGGCGAAGGCGGCUCACUGGACUGGUAUUGACGCUGAGGAGCGAAAGCGUGGGGAGCGAACAGG
rnacentral:rRNA from 1 species